rnacentral:misc_RNA from 1 species
GUGUAGUCCGGCAUGAUAGUACCGUUCACUGUGAUGAUCCUUCUGAUAUUGAAAAGCAGAGUGGGGAGAUCAGCAAUCAUGACUUAGCUACUGAAAGAGUGGAUCAAUCUGUACUCACCAUAGUGGUUCCUGCAAGCGAAUCAAUCAACUCCCAGGAUCCAACAUUAAUCACAGACCCAGUUGGGAACAUUUCCACCAUUGUAGAGUCUCCUAAGAAGCCUUACUUAUCCAGGAAUCAUAGCUUUCAGGAACAAUGCAGAGUAUGUCAAGAGGAAAAAGAGGAAGAAUUGAUCGAUCUUGGAUGCCACUGUCGUGGUGGAUUGGCAAAAGCACAUCGGACAUGCAUAGAUACAUGGUUUAGUACUAGAGGUUCAAAUAAAUGUGAAAUAUGCCAGCAAGUAGCUGUAAAUGUGGCAUCUCCAGAGGCUCAUGCACCUACAAGUUACUGGAUUUGGAGAGUCGAUCCUUCUUUUAGGGGGACAAAUAUUUCCCAAGAGCGGAAUAGAGGUUGUCUUAAUCCACUUUGGGUUGCGUUUUGUAUCCUCAUUGGCGGUCUGUUUCUGGAUGUGUUAAUAUCAAUUACGCUUGGAGUCUCUGCACUGCCUGUGAACAUCAUAAUCGGGGUAAUAGUUGUGCUGGGACUCGGAACAGCUCUUCGGCUUGCCCUUGAGUUCUGCCAUGAUCGGAGUAUCAGAAGUGUAGUUCACCGGUUAGAAGGAAACGUCAGUCUUGGAUAUCAUCCUACGGUAUAAUUGUUCAUACACCCUGAAAACAUUGAAAUUUAUCCAGCCUGCAACUUGAAAGAUUUGUUGGAGCCAGUAUUUUUUUAGAUGACAAUUUCUGAUUGAUAACGUACUUUACCCAUUGUAUUUAUUUCGUUUGAGGAUGCAGUGUGCAGUUUGACAUCUUGUUUUGCAGCUUUGAUA